CCUACGGGAGGCAGCAGUCGAGAAUCAUUCACAAUGGACGAAACUCUGAUGGUGCGACGCCGCGUGGGGGAAUGAAGGUCUUCGGAUUGUAAACCCCUUUCAUGUGGGAGCAAAUUAAUAAGAUAGUACCACAAGAGGAAGACACGGCUAACUCUGUGCCAGGAGCCGCGGUAAUACAGAGGUCUCAAGCGUUGUUCGGAAUCACUGGUCGUAAAGCGUGCGUAGGCGGGUUCGUAAGUCUGGUGUGAAAGGCGCGGGCUCAACCCGCGGACGGCACAUGAUACUGGGAGACUAGAGUAAUGGAGGGGGAACCGGAAUUCUCGGUGUAGCAGUGAAAUGCGUAGAUAUCGAGAGGAACACUCGUGGCGAAGGCGGGUUCCUGGACAUUAACUGACGCUGAGGCACGAAGGCGAGGGGAGCGAAAGGGAUUAGAUACCCUUGUAGUC
rnacentral:rRNA from 1 species